rnacentral:sRNA from 1 species
ACUAAUUAAAACAACGGGGCGGGACCUCCUGCCCUCUCGAUUGUAGAAGCAGCGCGGACAGACUAUACGCUGACGGGUCGUUCCCCCGUCGACGCGAACACAGGCUCUUCACACAAUCUUCGAGGGUAGCGCUGCUACCCUUUUUUUUCUG